rnacentral:rRNA from 1 species
UACGAGAGGCCCAAACGUUAUUCGGAAUUACUGGGCUUAAAGAGUCCGUAGGCGGCGCAGAAAGUAGGGUGUGAAAGCCCUCGGCUCAACCGAGGAAUUGCGCUCUAAACUACUGUGCUUGAGGAACUAGAGGUGAGCGGAACUGAUGGUGGAGCGGUGAAAUGCGUUGAUAUCAUCAGGAACACCGGAGGCGAAGGCGGCUCACUGGGGGUCUUCUGACGCUGAGGACGAAAGCCAGGGAGCGAACGGG